rnacentral:ncRNA from 1 species
AGCUAGGGGAGCACAUUGCUGAGAUCGUCUUUUGACGAACCCUCAUUACCUGAGACGGAUAAUGCCGGCGUAGGGAAGCAAGUA